rnacentral:snoRNA from 1 species
GGAUUCCAAGGAAGGGAUGAUGUUCUUAGUAAGACCCAAGAAAAGGAUUCUGAGCCUCAGAGCUUUGAAGGAACCACUUGGUCCCUGACCUUCCUCCAGGAAAU